rnacentral:tRNA from 1 species
GAGGGGUGCCGGAGUGGACUAACGGGACGGCCUGGAGAGCCGUGGCCUCUUUUCCGAGGCCUCGUGGGUUCGAAUCCCACCCCCUC